GAUGAACGCUGGCGGCGUGCCUAAUACAUUCAAGUCGAGCGAACGGACGAGAAGCUUGCUUCUCUGAUGUUAGCGGCGGACGGGUGAGUAACACGUGGAUAACCUACCUAUAAGACUGGGAUAACUUCGGGAAACCGGAGCUAAUACCGGAUAAUAUUUUGAACCGCAUGGUUCAAAAGUGAAAGACGGUCUUGCUGUCACUUAUAGAUGGAUCCGCGCUGCAUUAGCUAGUUGGUAAGGUAACGGCUUACCAAGGCAACGAUGCAUAGCCGACCUGAGAGGGUGAUCGGCCACACUGGAAAUGAGAAACGGUCCAGACUCCGACGGGAGGCAGCAGUAGGGAAUCUUCCGAAAUGGGCGAAAGCCUGACGGAGCAACGCCGCGUGAGUGAUGAAGGUCUUCGGAUCGUAAAACUCUGUUAUUAGGGAAGAACAGAUGUGUAAGUAACUGUGCACAUCUUGACGGUACAUAAUCAGAAAGCCACGGCUAACUACGUG
rnacentral:rRNA from 1 species